CUUAACUCCAAGUGAUGUAGUGAUUAACCAAGAGACAAAAGUUAGAUAGCACUGUGGAUGCUGAUGGACCUGGAAUCAAGAAAAUAAGUUCAAAUCCAGAAUUGGACAUAUCAAAUGCCUACUAGCUGUGUGACUAAUGAGUUAAAUGACACAAUUUACCUGAGGUCAGAAAGGUUAAGUGCCCAAGAGAAAAGGAUCAUGAAAAUCAAGAGAGAAUAACAUGUCCAGGAAGAGAGGUUGGCCAACAAUGUCAGAUGCUACAGACAGACCAUAAAGAAGAAAAGCCAAGAUCAUGAACUCAAAAGGCCUUGGGAAUAGCAGUGUCUUAAAAUUAUCAACCUUGCUUCUAGCAUGGACUCCGCAACCACUGAGAGAGAAAUCAAUUAUUACAGUGAAAA